rnacentral:rRNA from 1 species
AUUGAACGCUGGCGGCAUGCCUUACACAUGCAAGUCGAACGGUAACGGGCCUUCGGGUGCCGACGAGUGGCGAACGGGUGAGUAAUACAUCGGAACGUGCCCGAUCGUGAGGGAUAACGAGGCGAAAGCUUUGCUAAUACCGCAUACGAUCUACGGAUGAAAGCCGGGGACCGCAAGGCCUUGCGCGGACGGAGCGGCCGAUGGCGGAUUAGGUAGUUGGUGGGAUAAGAGCUUACCAAGCCGACGAGCUGUAGCUGGUCUGAGAGGAUGAUCAGCCACACGGGGAGUGAGACACGGCCAAGACUCCUAAGGGAGGCAGCAGUGGGGAAUUGUGGACAAUGGGCGCAAGCCUGAUCCAGCCAUGCCGAGUGCAGGAUGAAGGCCUUCGGGUUGGAAACUGCUUUUGUACGGAACGAAAAGCCUUCUUUUAAUACAGGAGGGUCAUGACGGUACCGUAAGAAUAAGCACCGGCUAACUACGUG